rnacentral:rRNA from 2 species
UACGUAGGGUGCGAGCGUUGUCCGGAAUUACUGGGCGUAAAGGGCGCGCAGGCGGCAGACCAAGUCAGAUGUGAAAUAGCUCGGCUUAACCGGGCGGGGUCAUUUGAAACUGGUCAGCUAGAGUACAGCAGAGGUUAGCGGAAUUCCCGGUGUAGUGGUGAAAUGCGUAGAGAUCGGGAGGAACACCAGAGGCGAAGGCGGCUAACUGGGCAUGUACUGACGCUGAGGCGCGAAGGCUAAGGGAGCAAACAGG